AGGAAGGAGGCGGCAGGCAUGAGUGCUGUGGGGACCAGGGGGAGGCAGGAGGUCAGCCAGGGCCACGUUAGAGCUUGGGGUGAGGAACAUUUGGUGAGACAGUCAGAGAGGAUGGGGCUGGAGGCGGGCAUGCUGGGGCCUUCAAUGCCAGGCUGAGAAGGCUGGUUUGUGAGAAUUGGGAGCUUAUGCUAGGCUCCUGAGCAAGGACAGUGACAGGUGAAAAUGGCUUUGGGGAAGAGGAGCAAGUGGGUAUGGCAAACAUAGGAAGAGGCCAGGGGUGAUGUCUGGAGGGGCAAGAAAUAGCCACACACUUUCCUAACCCCUCUUUCCUGCACUUAGAGCUCACAACAAUGGCCAAUGCAACUAGCCACUGCCUCCCAAACACAUCAGCUGACACAUGUGCUCUAUCUAAAUGAUGCUCACUUGACAAACAAGGGCGUGGGGCUCAGAGAGGUCAAUGGCCUGUCUGAACCACACAGCGGCUGCAUGUGAAAGGCUAAGUAGCGCUUCCACUGCAAGCCUGUCUGGUUCCCUUCACCACACUGUGUCCAUCCCCAGACUCUGGCUCCUGUAUUCUCGGACUCCACUUUCUCUAAUCCUGGGAUUAGUGAGGAGAGGGAAUUGGCAGCGUGGCUCAGAACAAGCUGCUCAGCAUGGAAACUUUCUCUGAGCAUCCCCAGGCCUGCCUCAUCCCCACUUCAUCUCCCUUUUAUAUCCCAGACCUCUCUCUCUCCAGGCCUGAGGCCUGGUGGAGAGGGCCUGUGGGCAGCUGUAGGGAGGGUCUUGCCCUGUAAGACAUGGAGGCAGCAGGCCCAGGCCGUACUCCUGGGCUUCCCAUCCCUGGUUGUGCCAAGGAGGGGUGUGGUGGUGCCAGGGGAGGGAAGGGGGCCCUGGUGAGUGGGGAGCAUGUCCCUGCAGGAAGCCAAGAGUCUCGGAGGAGGACCAAGAAUGGCUGGGCCUCAGCCCAGCCCCUAAUCCCUCUGCACACACUCCCUUCCCCAAGGAUUUUGCCUUGGAAAAAUGUGUUUAAUUUUCUCAGCUCAGAGACAAUGAAUGGAGGAUUUGGG
rnacentral:lncRNA from 1 species